UCUCGAUUGGUCUAGUGGUCAGGAUACCUGCUUGUCAUCUAUCUUGAUGGGUUCUUCUCGUCCGAGGUCGAAUGCGCAGGUGGCCGGGGUUCGAUUCCCCGAUCGAGAG